GAUGAACGCUGGCGGCGUGCCUAACACAUGCAAGUCGAGCGAAGCGGUUUUAAGGAAGUUUUCGGAUGGAAUUAAAACUGACUGAGCGGCGGACGGGUGAGUAACGCGUGGGUAACCUGCCUCAUACAGGGGGAUAACAGUUAGAAAUGGCUGCUAAUACCGCAUAAGCACACAGCUUCGCAUGGAGCAGUGUGAAAAACUCCGGUGGUAUGAGAUGGACCCGCGUCUGAUUAGCUAGUUGGUAAGGUAACGGCUUACCAAGGCGACGAUCAGUAGCCGACCUGAGAGGGUGACCGGCCACAUUGGGACUGAGACACGGCCCAAACUCCUACGGGAGGCAGCAGUGGGGAAUAUUGCACAAUGGGGGAAACCCUGAUGCAGCGACGCCGCGUGAGUGAAGAAGUAUCUCGGUAUGUAAAGCUCUAUCAGCAGGGAAGAAAAUGACGGUACCUGACUAAGAAGCCCCGGCUAACUACGUGCCAGCAGCCGCGGUAAUACGUAGGGGGCAAGCGUUAUCCGGAUUUACUGGGUGUAAAGGGAGCGUAGACGGCGGAGCAAGUCUGAAGUGAAAGCCCGGGGCUCAACCCCGGGACUGCUUUGGAAACUGUUCUGCUAGAGUGCUGGAGAGGUAAGUGGAAUUCCUAGUGUAGCGGUGAAAUGCGUAGAUAUUAGGAGGAACACCAGUGGCGAAGGCGGCUUACUGGACAGUAACUGACGUUGAGGCUCGAAAGCGUGGGGAGCAAACAGGAUUAGAUACCCUGGUAGUCCACGCCGUAAACGAUGAAUGCUAGGUGUUGGAGGGCAAAGCCCUUCGGUGCCGCCGCAAACGCAAUAAGCAUUCCACCUGGGGAGUACGUUCGCAAGAAUGAAACUCAAAGGAAUUGACGGGGGCCCGCACAAGCGGAGGAACAUGUGGUUUAAUUCGAUGAUACGCGAGGAACCUUACCCGGGCUUAAAUUGCAAAGGAAUAAUCUGGAAACAGAUUAGUCUUCGGACCUUUGUGAAGGUGCUGCAUGGUUGUCGUCAGCUCGUGCCGUGAGGUGUCGGCUUAAGUGCCAUAACGAGCGCAACCCUCGCCGCCAGUUACUAGCAGGUAAUGCUAAGGACUCUGGCGGGACUGCCAUCGUAAGAUGUGAGGAAGGUGGGGAUGACGUCAAAUCAGCACGGCCCUUACGUCCGGGGCUACACACGUGUUACAAUGGGCGGUACAGAAGGCAGCUACCUGGCGACAGGAUGCCAAUCCCAAAAGCCGCUCUCAGUUCGGACUGGAGUCUGCAACCCGACUCCACGAAGCUGGAUUCGCUAGUAAUCGCGCUUCAGCCACGGCGCGGUGAAUACGUUUCCCGGGCCU
rnacentral:rRNA from 1 species